GAUGAGCGCUGACAGAAUGCUUAACACAUGCAAGUCAACUUGAAUUUGGGUUUUUAACUUAGGUUUGGGUGGCGGACGGGUGAGUAACGCGUAAAGAACUUGCCUCACAGCUAGGGACAACAUUUGGAAACGAAUGCUAAUACCUAAUAUUAUGAUAAUAGGGCAUCCUAUAAUUAUGAAAGCUAUAAGCGCUGUGAGAGAGCUUUGCGUCCCAUUAGCUAGUUGGAGAGGUAACGGCUCACCAAGGCGAUGAUGGGUAGCCGGCCUGAGAGGGUGAUCGGCCACAAGGGGACUGAGACACGGCCCUUACUCCUACGGGAGGCAGCAGUGGGGAAUAUUGGACAAUGGACCAAGAGUCUGAUCCAGCAAUUCUGUGUGCACGAUGAAGUUUUUCGGAAUGUAAAGUGCUUUCAGUUGGGAAGAAAGAAAUGACGGUACCAACAGAAGAAGUGACGGCUAAAUACGUG
rnacentral:rRNA from 1 species